AGUCAGUACGUAUUGACAAUUGUGGAUUACUUCACCAAAUAUGUACUGUUGUUCCCUCUUCCAAGAAAGGAUGGGACAGGUGUCAACAAUUGCAUCAAGCAGUACAUAAGCAUAUUGGGAGCACCAAAACGCCUCAUCUCUGAUCAAGGGAAGGAGUUUUGUAAUAAGAUCAACAAUGACUUCUGCCAGCAAAUGGGAAUAAAAAGGUGUGUCUCCAGCGCUUAUCAUCCCCAGACCAAUGGUUUGGUGGAAAGAGUAAACGGUAUGGUGAAACGCCGAGUAAGCAAGCUGUUGGUUGACCGUGGCAAAAACUGGGACGAGAGUCUGCAUGACAUCAUUUUCUCAAUAAACGCUCAGCCACAGUCAGCUACGAAGUACACACCAUUUUUCCUAAUGUUUGGUCGGGAAGCCCUCACACUUUUGGAGG